rnacentral:rRNA from 1 species
GGGAUGAAGGCCUCCGGGUUGUAAACCUCCUUCCAGUAGGGAAGAAGCGGACUGGGUUCUCUCAGACGUGACGGUACCCGCCAGAAGAAGCGCCCGGCUAACUACGUGCCAGCAGCCGCGGUAAUACGUAGGGCGCAAGCCGUGUCCGGAAUUAUUGGGCGUAAAGAGCUCGUAGGCGGUUUGUCGCGUCUGGUGUGAAAACUCAAGGCUCAACCUUGAGCUUGCAUCGGGUACGGGCAGACUAGAGUGUGGUAGGGGUGACUGGAAUCCUGGUGUAGCGGGUGGAAUGCGCAGAUAUCAGGAGGANNNNNAUGGCGAAGGCCGUCCCCNNNNNNNNNCACUGACGCUGAGGAGCGAAAGCAUGGGGAGCGAACAGGAUUAGAUACCCUGGUAGUCCAUGCCGUAAACGUUGGGCACUAGGUGUGGGGCUCAUUCCACGAGUUCCGCGCCGCAGCUAACGCAUUAAGUGCCCCGCCUGGGGAGUACGGCCGCAAGGCUAAAACUCAAAGGAAUUGACGGGGGCCCGCACAAGCGGCGGAGCAUGCGGAUUAAUUCGAUGCAACGCGAAGAACCUUACCAAGGCUUGACAUACACCGGAAUCGGCCAGAGAUGGUCGCGUCUUCGGACUGGUGUACAGGUGGUGCAUGGUUGUCGUCAGCUCGUGUCGUGAGAUGUUGGGUUAAGUCCCGCAACGAGCGCAACCCUCGUCCUAUGUUGCCAGCACGUCAUGGUGGGGACUCAUAGGAGACUGCCGGGGUCAACUCGGAGGAAGGCGGNACGACGA